rnacentral:rRNA from 1 species
GACGAACGCUGGCGGCGUGCCUAACACAUGCAAGUCGAACGAGUGGCGGACGGGUGAGUAAUGUCUGGGAAACUGCCUGAUGGAGGGGGAUAACUACUGGAAACGGUAGCUAAUACCGCAUACCAUCAGAUGUGCCCAGAUGGGCGUGGCUUGUUGGGGGGGUAACGGCUCACCAAGGCGACGAUCCCUAGCUGGUCUGAGAGGAUGACCAGCCACACGGGAACUGAGCAACGGUCCAGACUCCUACGGGAGGCAGCAGUGGGGAAGAUUGCACAAUGGGCGCAAGCCUGAUGCAGCCAUGCCGCGUGGAUGAAGAAGGCCUUCGGGUUGUAAAGUACUUUCGGCGGGGAGGCGUUACCCGCAGAAGAAGCACCGGCUAACUCCGUGCCAGCAGCCGCGGUAAUUC